rnacentral:lncRNA from 10 species
GCAGUAAAGAAGCCGACUAAAACCUACCAAAACCAAGAUGGCCAUGAAGAGUGACCUUUGGUCAUUCUCACUGCUACACUCUCACCAGUGCCAAGACAGUUUACAAAUGCCAUGGCAAUGACAGGAAGUUCCCCUAUAUGGUCUAAAAAGGGGAGGCAUGAAUAAUCCACUCCUUGUUUAGCAUAUCAUCAAGAAAUAACCAUAAAAAUGGGUAACCAGCAGCCCUUGUGGCUGCUCUGUCUAUGGAGUAGCCAUUCUUUUAUUCCUCUACUUUCUUAACAAACUUGCUUUUGCUUUGCACUGUGGACUCUCCCUGAAUUUUUUCUUGCCCAAGAUCCAAGAACCUUCUCUUGGGGUCUGGAUCAGGACCGCUUUCCUGUAACAUCUUUCUGGCAACCACAAAGGGAUGAUACUGAAGAGACCCCCUAAUCUCAACUGAAAAUCAUCUGCUUGCACCAAUUUUGGCUGACUUUGGAGCCCUGAGUCACCAUUUAAGAAGUCCGACUACCCUGCUGAAGAGAUCACAUGGAGGGGCUCUGAGACUACAGCCUGAGAGCUGUUCCCACCAAGGUGUCAGGCUUGUGACUGAAGCCAUCUUGGAUGUUCCAGACUGGCCCAGGCCUCCAGACCUGGGCUGAAUUACAUCACCAGCUUUCCUGAUUCUUCAGCUUGCAGAUGGCAGAUUAGGGAACUUCUCAGUCUCCAUAAUCAUGUCAGCUGGGGCUCUGCUCUGCAUCUUCCUCCCUCUGGAACCCUAGCUGAGUGAGUGGUCACUAUCUGGAACAUUGCUGGCCAUUGUGACAGAGGGGGCACUGAGCUCUGGAGGGUUUCACACAGCAGGUCCUAAAACCUAGGAAGACUUUUCUGACCUUCCCCUGAAGCAGGCCUAAGACCCUCCUGUGAGAGACCAGGCUGGGCGAUACAGCGAGACCCUGCCUCGAAAACACCAUCACCACCACCACCACAAACAGCAGCAAAACCCCACCCAGGUUUAAUUACUUCUUCAGGGGUUCCAGACAAUGAACCUAAGAUAGAUAGAAGGAAAAGAUAAGUUGCCUCCCCUAUGAAGGCUAAGGCAACAUGUUGAGCCAAGAUACACCAGAUUCUAGAACCUGAGCAUUUAGCUUCAACCUCUUGGGGUUAUCUCCAGCCUCCAACUGGUGGGGGGUCAGCCCCUGAACCAAAGGUUUGUGUUUCCAAGAUUUCUGUCAAUGUACUGGUCACAGGGAUGGGCUCAGGCAGCUGUGGGUGGAGGAGAAGCAGAGAGGAGAGUGGGCAAUGGUGGCCCCAAAUGUGGUCCAGAAAUGGUUCCUGCUGGAGGUUACAGGAGAGGACAGGGUGAAUGGAUGAGUCAGACUACCAGUAUCACUUGGGGCUCAAAUAUAGCAUGUGAGAGUCCCUGCCUUUGCCACACUAGACAAGGGGGUUUGGCUCAAAAUAGCACAGAGGGGGGUUCUGUAGCAGUGAGAGAAAUCUAGCAUAGUUGACUCCAUCUUGCUUCUAACCCCCAAGCAAACUGCCUUUGCUCAUUCCUGCAUGUAGGCCCAGCUAACUAUGGGAGGAAUUUAGUGUAUAGCUUAACUUUAAAGCAAGGAUGAUAAUAGGGCCUUCCCCAAACUAACCCCUGAGGAGAUAAGAAGGGCAUACACCCAAGAACAAUGUUAUGCUAAAGACUUGUAGGAGUGCUGUGACCUGAACAAAGAAAAAGAAGUUAUGAAACUCCCUCAGACUCUUGCUGACACCCAGAUGUCUGUGGUCACCUGUCACCUCCUGACCUUAACCCCCUCCUUGUUCCCUUUACCCAAUAUAAAAAGAAGCUUGAGAUUCAUACCUUUGAAGAUGGUCCUUUAGGACACCAGUCUGCCAUCUUCUCAGUUUGCUGGCUUCCUGAAAUAAAGUCACUUUCCUUUAUUUGGAAAGAAUAGUUGAGUAUGUCUUGUCUUAUUGGCUGUUGUGAGACGAGUGGUAUGAGCUUUGGAUUUGGCUACGGUUCCAGAAUGAACUCUGGUGUUGGGCAGAGCUGGCUCACUUACCAGAUCUGGUGCAAAGCCCUUAAUCCGAGCCUUAGUUUCCUCUGUAAAGUAGGGAUGAUAAUAAUAUACAUCUUGUAGGAUUAUUGUGAGGAUUAAAUGAAAUAAUGUGGUAAAGCAUUUAGCACAGCACCUGAUACACAUGAAGUGUUCCAUAAAUGGUGUCUAGAAUAACGUAGUAGCAAUCAUAAAAUAAAAACAACCACAAAAACCAGCUACUAAUGGUUUCCUGAUCUCUCUCACACAGUAAAUAAAUCCUUGUGUGAAA